UACGAGUGCUCCAAGCGUUAUCCGGAAUCAUUGGGCGUAAAGGGUGUGUAGGUGGUUGUGUUAGUCUUUUGUUAAAUUCUUCGGCUUAACCGGGGGCAUGCGAAGGAAACGGCACAACUAGAGGAUGCGAGAGGUGAACGGAACUCAUGGAGUAGGGGUGAAAUCCGUUGAUAUCAUGGGGAACACCAAAUGCGAAGCAGUUCACUGGCGCACUCCUGACACUGAGACACGAAAGCGUAGGUAGCGAAUGGG
rnacentral:rRNA from 1 species